rnacentral:lncRNA from 1 species
ACCCGGGCUGAGUCACGAGCGAGUCGCGAAAGCAUCAAAGCCCUGUAGUCCUUAUGCGAGCCUCCAUGAAGAAGCUCCCUCGGGUGAAGCUCCAGAGAGAAAGACGAAGCCAGAGAAGUAGGCGAAAACGACGUGGUCUUCUCAUCUCUCUGGUCAGAGGGUUUCGAGACACUGCUCUUGUGAGAUAGCACGUCGAGAGUCUUCCGAAUAGAACCCGAAACAUCCAGCACAGAGCUGUGAGAAUCAGUGUCCAGCGAUAACUCCCUGGAGAAAACAAAAGGAGAAAGAGAGAGAGCGAAGGCAGCGAAAAUGGAGAAAAUAAAAAACUUGUCCGCCAUUUUGGCUGCAGAGAGGAUAGCC